rnacentral:rRNA from 1 species
UAGGGAAUCUUCCACAAUGGACGCAAGUCUGAUGGAGCAACGCCGCGUGAGUGAAGAAGGUUUUCGGAUCGUAAAACUCUGUUGUUAGAGAAGAACACGAGUGAGAGUAACUGUUCAUACGUUGACGGUAUUUAACCAGAAAGUCACGGCUAACUACGUGCCAG